rnacentral:tRNA from 1 species
AGGGAAGAAGCUACAAAUAUAGCAAUUAGUUGUUACCUAAUAGAAAGUGAGCGUUCACCUACCCUA